rnacentral:rRNA from 1 species
UGGAAGUAAAAGUCGUAACAAGGUCUCCGUUGGUGAACCAGCGGAGGGAUCAUUACCGAGUUUACAACUCCCAAACCCCUGUGAACAUACCAAUUGUUGCCUCGGCGGAUCAGCCCGCUCCCGGUAAAACGGGACGGCCCGCCAGAGGACCCCUAAACUCUGUUUCUAUAUGUAACUUCUGAGUAAAACCAUAAAUAAAUCAAAACUUUCAACAACGGAUCUCUUGGUUCUGGCAUCGAUGAAGAACGCAGCAAAAUGCGAUAAGUAAUGUGAAUUGCAGAAUUCAGUGAAUCAUCGAAUCUUUGAACGCACAUUGCGCCCGCCAGUAUUCUGGCGGGCAUGCCUGUUCGAGCGUCAUUUCAACCCUCAAGCCCUCGGGUUUGGUGUUGGGGAUCGGCGAGCCCUUGCGGCAAGCCGGCCCCGAAAUCUAGUGGCGGUCUCGCUGCAGCUUCCAUUGCGUAGUAGUAAAACCCUCGCAACUGGUACGCGGCGCGGCCAAGCCGUUAAACCCCCAACUUCUGAAUGUUGACCUCGGAUCAGGUAGGAAUACCCGCUGAACUUAAGCAUAUCAAUAAGCGGAG